rnacentral:rRNA from 1 species
GAUGAACGCUGGCGGCGCGCCUAACACAUGCAAGUCGAACGGCACCCCUCCUCGGAGGGAAGCGAGUGGCGACCGGCUGAGUAACACGUGGAGAACCUGCCCCCUCCCCCGGGAUAGCCGCCCGAAAGGACGGGUAAUACCGGAUACCCCGGGGUGCCGCAUGGCACCCCGGCUAAAGCCCCGACGGGAGGGGAUGGCUCCGCGGCGCAUCAGGUAGACGGCGGGGUGACGGCCCACCGUGCCGACAACGGGUAGCCGGGUUGAGAGACCGACCGGCCAGAUUGGGACUGAGACACGGCCCGGACCCCUACGGGAGGCAGCAGUGGGGAAUCUUGCGCAAUGGGGGGAACCCUGACGCAGCGACGCCGCGUGCGGGACGGAGGCCUUCGGGUCGUAAACCGCUUUCAGCAGGGAAGAGUCAAGACUGUACCUGCAGAAGAAGCCCCGGCUAACUACGUG